GACGAACGCUGGCGGCGUGCUUAACACAUGCAAGUCGAACGGAAAGGCCCUGCUUUUGUGGGGUGCUCGAGUGGCGAACGGGUGAGUAACACGUGAGUAACGUGCCCUUGACUUUGGGAUAACUUCAGGGAACUGGGGCUAAUACCGGAUAGGAGCUCCUGCUGCAUGGUGGGGGUUGGAAAGUUUCGGCGGUUGGGGAUGGACUCGCGGCUUAUCAGCUUGUUGGUGGGGUAGUGGCUUACCAAGGCUUUGACGGGUAGCCGGCCUGAGAGGGUGACCGGCCACAUUGGGACUGAGAUACGGCCCAGACUCCUACGGGAGGCAGCAGUGGGGAAUAUUGCACAAUGGGCGGAAGCCUGAUGCAGCAACGCCGCGUGCGGGAUGACGGCCUUCGGGUUGUAAACCGCUUUCGCCUGUGACGAAGCGUGAGUGACGGUAAUGGGUAAAGAAGCACCGGCUAACUACGUG
rnacentral:rRNA from 1 species